UAAAUAAAAUUUCUCAUCCUGUCACUGAUCUCAUUCUAUACAGUUGUUAUAUUGGAUUCACAUUUCAUUAGAAAUAGUUUUUUAAUACUGGUGAAAAGAACGAAAAUUAAUGUCUUCAACACUCGGAAUAAUUGUGAUGUUUUUGUUUAUGGUGAAUGUUGCCAAUUCCUGGAAUUUAUUCAGAAAAGCAACCCCUCCACCUAAAGAAAACUUUAUAGACAAUCCAAUAGGAAAGAUGUUUGAAGAACUGCUCAGAGGGAAUGGAUUCAUGAUUCCAAAUAAUGAACCCGACAUCGGUGAAUCGCCGGAUUUGGACAACCCCUCUGGUCCAUCUGGUCGAGAUGGUAUUAUCGAAAAUUUGAAAAUACCCACCUAUAGGGUAUGAAGUUGAAGAUGAACGGUUCAAUGGCGCAUAGUAUUUUAUCAAGUUCCAAUUGCAGUGAAAUCCCGACUAUUCGAUUCAAUUGCUGAGGCAAUGGAAGGUUGGAUAGUUUUGACAGUUCCUUGCUCGGAUCAUCACCUGACGCCUUUUUAUGCCGUUCGAAUGGUUCGUCCUUUUCGUGGCUCGCAUUUAUCGAGGAUUAUUCAGUAACAGGCAAAUAGGUAUCAUUUUUCAUAGUUGCUUGAAAAGGGCGAGAAGAGGUUGCAAAGUAAAAACCAUUAAAAAUGCACGUUUAGGGCACUCUUUAGAUUCACGAAAAUGUCAAAAUUCAGAGGCAAUCUUAUACUUGUUAAAAGAGCACAAUUAUGUACACUUUUUUGAAACCGGAAUGGGGUAGAAGGGAUUGAAAACUUUAAGCCCUCAUAAAACAACUUUUGGAAUCCUCUGAAGGUACAUGACACAUGCGAGCCUCCAAGGUAAAUUUGGGGAGACCAUAACGAUAACACAGAAUUAAAAAUAAUAUUGAAAAAAAUAUAUAUCAUAUAAAACUCCCUUUGAAUUUAAUACCUAUCUACCAAGUUUCAGCCUCCAAUAUCAUUUAGGGAAGAAUUCAUGAGGUGUUAAAAAAUUGAGACCUGUUGAGAAAAUCGCGAAAAUCUUAUCAUUUUUGCGGUUAGCAUGAGAUAUGGAGGAUUGAAAAGUCAAAAUCCACCAAAAAGCAUGUCUAGGCACCCUUCAAAUGCACUUGCCAAAUUUCACCCUCUGAAGCCAAUUUUAAGUGUUAUGGGUAUGACAAAGUUUUUCGAGGUAAAUAAAAUUACUUACAUUUUACAAACUUCUUCAAGACAGCAGUUUUCACAUUACAUCGUUGUAUACGUUUUGACCAUUUUUACGCUCUUUAGUGUCAUUCUUUCUCGAAAAUUUAGCUUUAUUUUUGAGAUACUCGUAUUUCUAACAUAUACGAGUAAAAAACUGAACAUCAUUGACCAAUUUUUCUCACCGACAACGGCUGCUUUAUACUUACCUAUGCAAAUAAAUUAAAAAUAACGGGUCAGUUUUUUUCCUAUUUUAAAAAUUAUUUUAUUACUUAAUAUGAUUUGUAAGGUCUUUGUGAAGGUACCAAAUCCCCAUUCUCAUGUCAUUUAGGGCUUUGAUACUUAAAGAGACUCUUAAAACAGUGCAGCAAGUAUAAAGCUACGCCUGCAUGAAGUAAAAAGGGAAAAGUUUGCAAAUAAUUUGUUUGUAAUAAGCGCAAACCACCAUAGCGCAAAGGGUUCUUUUUGGCUAAGAUUAGCGUAAACAAGUAUAGUCCCAACCCCUCAUCUUCAAAAAUUAAACAUGAAACUUGAGACCUUAUAUCCCUACCUAAGUACUUAUUCAACAUUAUACCUGCAAAUGAAAAAUAAAAGAGUACCUACUUUGGACUGUUAUUUUCAAUGAUGACUAUAAUUAAUAGAGUCAUGAUUCGAUUUUUAUUUUCUAUGGGUAACCGAUUAGGUACCAAACUAUUUACGAUAUACAUGCUUACCUAUUAUUAAAAAUCAUUUUUAAAGUCGUGAACUACUUAUUCAUAUUCGAAAUUAGGUAUGAUAGCUAUGUACCUACUCAAAACUACCCACUACAUAACAGAUUACACAGAAUACAGUGCGAUAGUAUUUUAGUAUGGAGAACGAAUAUUGUAAGUUUUUGUUGUGGCUUUGGUAAUACAAAGCGAAAUAAUUACGUGUCGAUUAAUGGCAAGAAUUAGAAAGUGAUUCGCUUUUACCAUUCAUAGUAAAGAUGAAAAAUCAAAAAUAUUCAAUAAAACGUAUGUAAACUUCAAUGCGUACUUUAACCGUUUUAAAUAUAAAAAUGCCCAAAACACUCCUACAAUGUGUACAUAAAUUAUUCUUAUUUCAUAAACAUGAUUAAGAACUCCUAAAUAAGUACUUAAUUAUUACUCUUCUUACGAUAACUACUAUGACCGAUCCAUUAAUUUGGGAAUACAGCCACGUCGUCUCACCUGUAGCACAAAAUGGGGAAAAAAUUAUGAAAAACGUGAUUCUCUUAAAUCAAAUUUUUCAUAAUUAUUUUUUCAAAACAUACCUAUUAAAUGGGUAUUUUGUUUCAAAAUUUACUAAAUGAAUUCAAAAAUUAAUGCAUUAUAUACAUGUAGUAAGUAAGCUUAGGUUUUGAGACAAAUAUUAAAAAUUACUUACUUAGGUUUUGAAAAAAAAAAUGAAUGCAGGUAUUUUUUAAUGUAAGGGAUUUAUGUACUUAUUGUACUCGUAAUUUUGUACCCUAAGUACUGCAUUGUUAUUUUCUUGUCAAUUUAUCUUGACCACUUUAUUCCAAUUUUAUUCGACAAGGUUUUACCGACUUUUCGGAGAAAAGUGGAGUAUUGUAUUUGUUGCGAUAGUGGAAGUUGGGUCGGGGAGUGACUUUUCUUUGCGUUUCGAGGGUCUGGGAUCACGAUAGGCUCAUUCCCAAAAUUUCAGGUUUCCUUAUAUAAGGUUUAUAUAUGAAUACACGUACCUAGUACCUUGUGGUGCCCGGGUCUUUUAUGGUAAUUGUGGUGCCCGCGUACAUAGAGGAUCACAUAUAUAUGUAUGAUAAAGGUGUUUUGGAGCAGUUUAUUUUUUUUGGGUUUUUUAGUCAUAGUGGUGCCCGUUCUAUAAACUUGGUACUUGUGGUGCCUGCCUCAAAAAUUUUUUUUUCACCUUAGAGUGCAUUUCAUGAAAUUCUACAUCGUUUUAUAUAAAAAGACCUUGUGGUGCCCGAUUUGGGCGCCACAAGCCCAAAACCGGGCACCACAA